UCUACCCUGUGACUUCUUCUACUCUGCCACGCUUGUAGUUGUCAAAGAGGAAGGGAACAAUAAAACUCUGGCUUCCUGGAUUUAAUUGCAAGCUAUGACUUGCGAUUCGUCAGUGAUGUGACAUAACUGCCACUUGGACCUCAGCCCUAGGACCAUGCCCCAGGACUACCUGACAUGAUGACUCCUUGCUGUCCCCAGUCCACCUGGCCGUGCUGCUGCUCCAGUUUCAACUGUUCUGCCUUAUUAUUAUUCGACCAUGCUGGUCAUUUAUGAACAUUUUAACAUCUUGGCCAUGUUCUGUUAUAAUCUCCACCCGGCACAGCCAGAAGAGGACUGGCCACCCCACAUAGCCUGGUUCCUCUCUAGGUUUCUUCCUAGGUUUCUUCCUAGGUUUUGGCCUUUCUAGGGAGUUUUUCCUAGCCACCGUGCUUCUACACCUGCAUUGCUUGCUGUUUGGGGUUUUAGGCUGGGUUUCUGUACAGCACUUUGAGAUAUCAGCUGAUGUACGAAGGGCUAUAUAAAUAAAUUUGAUUUGAUGUUUGAUGUAGUCAACUAGCACUACUUUCCUUCAGAACAUUUAAGGCAAAGAAACAAAAGAAAAAAAGUGAUAGG